AUAUCAAAGUAUGCCCUUUGCGUUUUUUUCCUUGUUUACGGAAGAACAAACUUUUUCCUGACUCUUUGAAUUACGUGUUCUUGUGUUCAUAUAUUUUCUGUUUGCAGAUUCAGAAAUUAGGUGAUAGUUAUUAUCUUUUUAAGAAGAAUGUGAUCCUCUCGGACACUGGGGAAUACAUUUGCUCUGCAAGGAAUGCCGUGGGAGAGGCAACUUGUUCAGCAAGCAUCAUUGUGACAGGUAUAUGCUGCACACACUCUGCCAGGUGAACUUGUCUGAGGAAACAGAGAACUCGGCCCCGAGGUGAUGUUUGCAUUUCUUUUAGAAAAAGAGAAAAGAGAAGAAGUGUGCUGCAGAGCUGAGGCAAAAGCUAAAAGUGGACGGAAGUUUUUACCAGAACGUACAACCACAAAUAUAGAGGAGCAGGGCCCAGCUACACACAUCAGCCAGAAGACAAUGACAAAACAGUUUUCAGUGAGGAGAUUCCCUGCAGCUUGGGAGCACUACCAAGAUUUUGCAGUUCUCCACCCAGGGUACAGGACAAUUCACAGAAGACACUGUCCAGGAAUGGAAGAGCAUCAUUAUUCGGAGAAAGGAGAAAGAGAAGGCAGAGCAAUGGUGACCCCGGAAGAAUCUCAAGUGCCAAGACAGGAAACAAGAAGGAGCUUCUGGAGGUAA
rnacentral:lncRNA from 1 species